UACAGAGGGUGCAAGCGUUGUCCGGAAUCACUGGGCGUAAAGGGCGCGUAGGUGGCCUGAUAAGUAGGAGGUGAAAAUCCUGGGGCUUAACCUCAGGGCUGCCUUCUAGACUGUCCGGCUCGAGCACAGUAGAGGCAGGUGGAAUUCCCGGUGUAGCGGUGGAAUGCGUAGAGAUCGGGAAGAACGAUCGGUGGCGAAGGGCGGC
rnacentral:rRNA from 1 species